rnacentral:misc_RNA from 1 species
GAAAUACGAUAAGUAAUGUGAAUUGCAGAAUUCAGUGAAUCAUCGAAUCUUUGAACGCACCUUGCGCUCCUUGGUAUUCCUUGGAGCAUGCCUGUUUGAGUAUCUUGAAAUCUUCAAAGUAAAUCUUUUGUUAACUCAAUUGGUUUCUACUUUGGUAUUGGAGGUCUUUGCAGCUUCACACCUGCUCCUCUUUGUUCAUUAGCUGGAUCUCAGUGUUAUGCUUGGUUCCACUCGGCGUGAUAAGUUAUCUAUCGCUGAGGACACUGUAAAAGGUGGCCAAGGUAAAUGCAGAUGAACCGCUUCUAAUAGUCCAUUGACUUGGACAAUACUUUUAUGAUCUGAUCUCAAAUCAGGUAGGACUACCCGCUGAACUUAAGC